rnacentral:rRNA from 1 species
CUGGGCGUUAAGUUGCAGGGUAUAGACCCGAAACCCGGUGAUCUAGCCAUGGGCAGGUUGAAGGUUGGGUAACACUAACUGGAGGACCGAACCGACUAAUGUUGAAAAAUUAGCGGAUGACUUGUGGCUGGGGGUGAAAGGCCAAUCAAACCGGGAGAUAGCUGGUUCUCCCCGAAAGCUAUUUAGGUAGCGCCUCGUGAAUUCAUCUCCGGGGGUAGAGCACUGUUUCGGCAAGGGGGUCAUCCCGACUUACCAACCCGAUGCAAACUGCGAAUACCGGAGAAUGUUAUCACGGGAGACACACGGCGGGUGCUAACGUCCGUCGUGAAGAGGGAAACAACCCAGACCGCCAGCUAAGGUCCCAAAGUCAUGGUUAAGUGGGAAACGAUGUGGGAAGGCCCAGACAGCCAGGAUGUUGGCUUAGAAGCAGCCAUCAUUUAAAGAAAGCGUAAUAGCUCACUGGUCGAGUCGGCCUGCGCGGAAGAUGUAACGGGGCUAAACCAUGCACCGAAGCUGCGGCAGCGACGCUUAUGCGUUGUUGGGUAGGGGAGCGUUCUGUAAGCCUGUGAAGGUGUGCUGUGAGGCAUGCUGGAGGUAUCAGAAGUG